rnacentral:rRNA from 1 species
GACGAACGCUGGCGGCGUGCUUAACACAUGCAAGUCGAACGGAAAGGCCCUGCUUUUGUGGGGUGCUCGAGUGGCGAACGGGUGAGUAACACGUGAGUAACCUGCCCUUGACUUUGGGAUAACUUCAGGAAACUGGGGCUAAUACCGGAUAGGAGCUCCUGCUGCAUGGUGGGGGUUGGAAAGUUUCGGCGGUUGGGGAUGGACUCGCGGCUUAUCAGCUUGUUGGUGGGGUAGUGGCUUACCAAGGCUUUGACGGGUAGCCGGCCUGAGAGGGUGACCGGCCACAUGGGGACUGAGAUACGGCCCAGACUCCUACGGGAGGCAGAAGUGGGGAAUAUUGCACAAUGGGCGGAAGCGUGAUGCAGCAGCGCCGGGUGCGGGAUGACGGCCUUCGGGUUGUAAACCGCUUUCGCCUGUGACGAAGCGUGAGUGACGGUAAUGGGUAAAGAAGCACCGGCUAACUACGUG